AGUAUGAGGACUGCUUAGUAGGUUACUCCGAUAUAGUAAACUGUAGAUUUAUUUCUCCAUAUUA
rnacentral:tRNA from 1 species